UUGGGCACAGCCCCGCCCCCUUGUUUACAUAGAAGGGUGACGCGUUGCAGGGCGCACGUGGCCAAUGCGCCAGCGGCGGAAUGCCCACAGCAGUGGUGAGAGAGGAGCCUCCACAAUGCAUUGGAGCUGCAUAAUCUUGCCAGUCAGUGUUCAAGUUGGAGCGCAAUGGGUUAAACCCUUGUGCCGGCAGGACUGAAGACUGACAGGUCGGAGGUUUGAAUCCGUGGAGAAUGGGGAUGAGCGCCCUCUGUCAGCUCCAGCUCCCCAUGCGGGGACAUGAGAGAAGCCUCCCACAAGGAUGGUAAAACAUCAAAACAUCCUGGCGUCCCUUGGGCAACUCCUUCCUUGCAGACGGCCAAUUCUCUCACACCAAGUCGCUCCUGACACGGAAAAAUAAAGUGUAAAGAAUCAGAGUCGGAAGAGAGCAUAAGGCCCAUCUAGUCCAAUCUCCUUCUGCCAAGCAGGAAUACACAAUCAAAGCACCCCUGGAAGAAGCUUAAAAAUCUCCAGAGAAGGAACUCCAUCCCACUGCAAGGCAGCAGCAUAUUCUACAUCAAAUAGUUCUUACCAACAAGAAGUUCUUCCAAAUGUUCAGGUUCACCAUGAGCAGCCUGUUUUCAUACCUGUUUCUAGUGGGGCCUUGGGAUGCAAGGUGCCUGGAAAGCUUGGCCUGUGCCAUGGGACCAUCUGAAACUCUGAGACCCAGUAUCUCUGGAACAACACCUUGAAAAGUUAGAAGCUGCAUUAAGAGUGAAGUUAUUCCCUUUUAAAGUUACCACAUUAAUUUGGGUAUGCCUUAGUUACUGAAAAAGGCCAUCAGUUACAAACAACUAUCUGUUUUAACUAAUUUCUUCCAUACUUUGCUCUGAGUGUUGAGUUGAAAAAUAUACAUCCCACUGUGCUUGGGUACACAGAAUACCCUACCAUUUGUGACAUCUAAGACAGAAACCCCACAACUUUGCCACUUUAUGCACCUAUGCAUCAUUUCUUUUUUGUGCUGAACAAAAAAGAGUAGCUACCAUGCGGC